ensembl:lncRNA
GUUGCAAGUUAUAUGCAUUGUUUUUUUUCCUACCAAACAAACAAAGCAAUAACAGUAUGAGUAUUUGUAACAGAAGUCUUUCUUUCCUCCAGAUGUACCAAGAUGGGCAAGAGAUCUUUUUUAUUUCCAAAAUAUGAAAUAAUAUAUGGUGUUGAUAUUCACAUGUUCACUUGAUGCUUUCCUAGAUUUUGUUUUUAAGAGUGAAUGAUGUUUUAAACACUGGAAAAUCAUACAAAUAUACCAGAAGUAAAUUUGGUGAAAAAGAAAUGCAUCCUCAAAUGGUGAGCAAAGAAAGGUGAGUAGCAGUUAACUUUACAGCUGCAUAGCAUGAUGCAAGCAGGGCUGAAAUGUUUAUAAUCAAGAUACAUGUAAUCCUAAUUACUUCUACCUCACGUUCAAUCAGCUUCAUAAAUGGAAGAGUGGAAGAGAAAUGCUAAAGCACUACCAAGAUGCAGAAAACUUAGUAUAUGUUUGAUACUGUAAGCUUGCACCAAGACACAAAGGCUGAGCUUUAUGGGGAAGGGAUGUGAGUUAAGCUAUCCUCUCCAAUUUAGAGAAGUCCUCAGAAACUACAAAAGUUUAAGAUGGAGUAGAAAUCCUUAAUAUUUAGAGAACAGAGUAUGCUACUAAGGUAGCAUUCAACUAAGUAAUGUCCUGCAAAACUUAAAGACACCAAAGUACGGGUAUAUGACAGCCUUGUUCCCUUUUGUCUCUUGCAGAUGAUGAUGAAUUUCAAGUUUUCUAACACAUCCUUAUGUUUUCUUUGUCUUUCAUUUAUGUUCUCAGUUUGGUUGGAUGCGUCCAAAAAAAAAAAAAAAAAAAAAAAGCAAAAACACCAAAGCUGGUAGGAAGAAUGCUCAGGAUAGAAAUUGUUACUUUCUCUUUACUUCCAUGGGAACUUUGGUCAGAUUACAGGCUGUUGCACAAAAUUUAAUAUUGACAUCAUUAACAUCUUCACAGUUAGAUGAUAGGAAGCAUUCUCAUAAGAAUCAUUUUAAUUGGGAGAUAAUUAACUACUAGUAUGGGUUAAUAUAAUGCAGGAAGUGAAGAUAAUAUCAUCAUCUUUUGGUACUUAAUUUAUGAUAUGUCCAAGUUUCUUAUGAGGAUAAUUGAUUAUUAUCCUCAAGUGCAAGGUCUUAUACCUGGGUCAAAGCAACCCUGCUAUGAGUACAAGCUGAGGGAUGAAAGGAUUGAGCACAGUCUUACUGAAAAGAACCUGGGCGUACUAGUGGAUGAGAAGCUGGACAGGAGCCAGCAAUGUGCCUUUGCAGCCUGGAAAGUCAGCUGUAUCUUGGACUGCUUUAAAAGAGGCAUGGCCAACAGAUUAAGGGAGGUGAUCCUGUUCCUGUACUUGGUGCUGGUGAGGCCUCACCUGGAGUACUUUGUCCAGAUGCAGAGUGCUCAGUGCAGAAGAGAUAUAGACCUGUUGGAGCACAUCCAGAAGAGGGCCACAAAGAUGGUGCAAGGGAUGGAACACCUCUCUUACAAGGACAGGCUGAAAGAGCUGGGGCUGUUCAACCUGGAGAACAGAAGGCUGCGAGGUGACCUGACAGUGGCCUUUCAGUAUCUAAAAGGGAGCUACAGAAAAGAAGGGGACAUACUCUUUUGCAGGAUCUGUGGUGACAGAGCAAGGGGAAAUGCUUUUCAAGCUUAAAGGGGGUAG